rnacentral:rRNA from 1 species
CCUACGGGUGGCUGCAGUGAGGAAUAUUGGUCAAUGGGCGAGAGCCUGAACCAGCCAAGUCGCGUGAAGGAUGAAGGAUCUAUGGUUUGUAAACUUCUUGUAUAUGGGAGUAAAGUGAGGCACGUGUUCCUUUUUGUCAGUACCAUAUGACUAAGCAUCGGCUAACUCCGUGCCAGCAGCCGCGGUAAUACGGAGGAUGCGAGCGUUAUACGGAUUUAUUGGGUAUAAAGGGUGCGUAGGUGGGUAAUUAAGUCAGCGGUGAAAGUUUGUGGCUCAACCAUAAAAGUGCCGUUGAAACUGGUUGACUUGAGUAUAUGAGAGGUACGCGGAAUGCGUGGUGUAGCGGUGAAAUGCAUAGAUAUCACGCAGAACUCCGAUUGCGAAGGCAGCUUACUAAACUAUAACUGACGCUGAAGCACGAAAGCGUGGGGAGCAAACAGGAUUAGAUACCCGGGUAGUC